rnacentral:rRNA from 1 species
CCUACGGGUGGCAGCAGUCGAGAAUCAUUCACAAUGGGGGAAACCCUGAUGCAGCGACGCCGCGUGAGUGAAGAAGUAUUUCGGUACGUAAAGCUCUAUCAGCAGGGAAGAAAAACCGGCCUUAGGGCCGCCAGACGGUACCUGACUAAGAAGCCCCGGCUAACUACGUGCCAGCAGCCGCGGUAAUACGUAGGGGGCAAGCGUUAUCCGGAUUUACUGGGUGUAAAGGGAGCGUAGACGGCAGCGCAAGUCUGGAGUGAAAUGCCGGGGCCCAACCCCGGAACUGCUUUGGAAACUGUGCAGCUGGAGUGCAGGAGAGGUAAGCGGAAUUCCUAGUGUAGCGGUGAAAUGCGUAGAUAUUAGGAGGAACACCAGUGGCGAAGGCGGCUUACUGGACUGUAACUGACGUUGAGGCUCGAAAGCGUGGGGAGCAAACAGGAUUAGAUACCCCUGUAGUC